CCCUAGAAAAUCCAAAUCAAAAUGUCAGACAACAUACCAUUCGAAAUCCAAGAGGAAAUCAUAAAAAAGCUUCCAGUGAAAUCGUUGAUUCAGUUCCGAUCCGUCUCCAAACCAUGGAAGUCUCUCAUCGAUAGCACUGAUUUUAUAAAGCAUUAUAGGGGCCAGAUGCAGCAUCUACUCGUAAGGUAUAUAGACAAAGUUGAUAUUCGGGAAAAAAAUAUUUCAAUUGUUGACGAUGAUAGCUUCCCCACUCAGAGAGUUUCUGUGACUCGUCCCACGUUGUUUAACAUGCUCAAAACUUAUGUUAUAAUCGGUAGCUCUCAUGGCUUGUUGUGUUUGUACAGUGAUGGCUGUGAUAACAUGGUUGUUCUUUGGAAUCUUUCUAUUAGAAAAGCUGUUGCUGUUGAUGUGCGUUAUGUGUCAAAUGUGUAUGAUACUGUUAUAGGUUUCGGGGUUUGUCGUGAGACUAGCGAUCCUAAGAUUGUCAAGAUUACAUAUAUUCAUAAUAGGACCGGACCGAGACGAUAAGUAUACCUGAUAGUAUCCCAUGGCAAGUUGAAGUUUUUACAUUAAGCACAGGGGUGUGGAGAAGUCCUUGUAACAAUCUCCCUCGUAAAGCAGUUCAGUUUACCGGUCUCCAGGUAGUUGUAGAUGGAGUUCUUUAUUGGCUUGCUAUGGACCGGAUUGCCAUGGAUGGUGGAUUUCAUGUUUAUAAACGUUUGAUAUCACAAGUGAGGAAUUUAAAGAAGUAAUCCUUCCAGAUAAUUUAGCAAACAAGCCAUCAUAUAAAUCACUGUAUUUGUCUAAGCUAAGGGAGUCACUUGUUGUUCUUGAAGAUGAGAUGGUUGUAUGGAUGAUGGAGGGGGAUGUUCAAAAAACGUUUACGAAGCUAUUCACUAUUUACACACCUGCCGAAACCGUACUAACAGUACUGGAAUUUAGGAAGAGUGGUGAACCGGUAAUUGAAUAUCGUCGUGAACAGGAUAAAGAUUCAUCGCUUGUUGUUUAUGACCCCUGCUCAAAACAGUUCAAUAAUCUUGAGAUUAAUGGAAGAGGUUCAUAUAAUGUGUGUUUCUACACGGAAACGCUGCUUCUUCUUGAUCAGCCAGAAGGCUUUGAGUUUUGAAGCAUACAAGCAAGGGCAAUGGAGAUGGGAAGAAGCUUGAGGAACUUUUUACCAAUCAAGAAUUUUCUAUGAAGUUGGUGUAGCAAUUUAAUUUAUAGGUGUGUUAGGUGAAAUUUUGUAUGAUAUCAUAAAAUUUUAUUAUGAGAUUUGUUGUUAUA